rnacentral:misc_RNA from 1 species
GAUGAAGAACGCAGCGAAAUGCGAUAAGUAAUGUGAAUUGCAGAAUUCAGUGAAUCAUCGAAUCUUUGAACGCAUCUUGCGCUCCUUGGUAUUCUGAGGAGCAUGCCUGUUUGAGUGUCAUUAAAUUCUCAACUACACUGACUUUGAAUUGGUGUGGCUUGGAUUUGGGGGGAAAAUUGUUGUGGGCUUUUUGUAUAGUCUGCUCCCCUGAAAUUGAUUAGCGGUACCUUUGUGGAACUGUCUACAGGUGUGAUAAUUAUCUACAUCUUAGACAUCUGCUGGAAUGCUGCUUUCUAAACCUUACUUGUAUUGACAAUCUUGACCUCAAAUCAGGUAGGACUACCCGCUGAACUUAAGCAUAUCAAUAGCGGAGGA